rnacentral:rRNA from 1 species
UAAAGGCGAAGAACCUUACCAAGGCUUGACAUACACCGGAAACGGCCAGAGAUGGUCGCCCCCUUGUGGUCGGUGUACAGGUGGUGCAUGGUUGUCGUCAGCUCGUGUCGUGAGAUGUUGGGUUAAGUCCCGCAACGAGCGCAACCCUCGUUCUAUGUUGCCAGCGCGUUAUGGCGGGGACUCAUAGGAGACUGCCGGGGUCAACUCGGAGGAAGGUGGGGAUGACGUCAAAUCAUCAUGCCCCUUAUGUCUUGGGCUUCACGCAUGCUACAAUGGCCGGUACAAAGGGCUGCGAUACCGUAAGGUGGAGCGAAUCCCAAAAAACCGGUCUCAGUUCGGAUUGAGGUCUGCAACUCGACCUCAUGAAGUCGGAGUCGCUAGUAAUCGCAGAUCAGCA